AUGAGCAAAAGACAAAUCUUUCUGGGCUAAGAAGCAUUUAAUAAAGGCAGCCGCUGUACAACAACCACCACCGGCACGACUAACAUUGCACAAAUCAGCAUUUGAAGAACUUGUAAGUUGCUUGAGGUAAGCCUCGUGAAAUGGCAUACGCCAGAAAAGGUCUCCAGCAUCAUGGGAAGCAGUUUCAAGAUUCUUCCACAACUCUUCUCCUUGAACAAAUGCACCAGUAAAUACAUUACCGAGGGCUACUAGCAUAGCACCAGUUAAUGUGCUGGCUUCAAUCACAGCCUUGGUCUUAUACUGAGAAGAGACAUAGUGAACUGCAUCGGCAAGAAUAAGACG